UAUACAUUUUUUAGGGAUCGCAAAUCAAUCGAAAGUUUUUGCAAUAUAGAAAUGUCUCACUAUGCGAAGCUAUCUUCCAUACGAAAUGAGUUGGACAGAUAUACACAGAAACUUGAAAGAGAACUACUUUUUGAAGAAACAUGUACUUUCAUAGCACAACAAAUUCAACCUCGAAAAGAUGUAUGUUACACGAAUGUAAGUACAUCAUUGGAUCCAAUCGCACAAGAGGUACUGAAUCGUCUCAGAGAGAAGCAUCCGAACCAUUCGAUAUUCUCCACGUCUGAAGAAACUUUUUCUUAUUGGAAAACCAACAAUAUCAAAGAUAAUCAUUGGGACCAAACAGAAAGUAUGCAGAUUAUGGAUACACUUCAGGAAUAUAUAUUUGACACUUUGAACUUUCGAGUAUGUAUCCUCGUACCCGAAGAUAUCAAAUGUUUCUGUAUAGAUUAUGUUUUACAAAGUAAAGUUGGUGAAGAUAUCAUUGUAUAUACAAUAUUUCAUAGCGUGGCUAGAAAACUUGGUCUACGUUGCGAUCUAAUAGAUAUUUGGUCUGCCUGCUGUAUAUUUUGGAAACCAGAAUUCGUCACGAAUAAUUUAGAAAAUGCAAGAUGUUUUUUCAUAAAAGACGAGAAAUUCCCGAAUUGUCUUCAUGAUUGUCUACAAGAAUACAAGUCUCAUAACACAUAUAAAGACGUCAACAAAAUAGAAACUGAACAGAUGUUCUACAAGAUAAGAACUUUAGUUGGAAGGUUUAUAAUGGGACAUAAAAUAAUCAAAUUGGGAUUAGUCAAAGUGCAUUGUAAUGUGCUAAUAACAUACCCGCACUAACAUAAUCACAUGUUAGUAUAUAAUAUAAACAAUUGUAAAAAUAAAGAACUUUGUGAGGGUCUUGCAGAUAACAAUCAAUUUACAGAUAGUUGAGCCAACAUAAUGAACGGAUGUUUUUGACAUAUACUAUAUACAUAUAUUUUCGACUUUUAUAUUAUAGAUAUAAAUAUUAUGCCCUAUUUUUGUAUGCAAUGUCAAGUGAAAAUCAACGCGAUGAAUGAAAUAUAUUUAUUAUUCUCUCUGCUAUAA